rnacentral:lncRNA from 1 species
AGCUCUUCCCAGGACGGACUUCUGCCACAGGGAUGAGGAAGAGGAUCUCAGAAGACUGAGGCUGAACCUCCUGGGCGCUUUGCCUCUGGAACAAAUGGCAGGAAACAUCCAUUCAACAGGCUGCUCAUCCCUUACAUUGAUCUCAAUGAGGUUCUGCCAAUUAGUGUAUUUUGUAAAAGAUCAAGAACCUAGCAACAAGGGGCUUGUGAUCGAUAUCAGGGCUUUUGUUCUAAGCAGCCACUUAUCUCAGUAAUUCUCGCUGAGAGUCCGUUGAAACAAGAGUUUCAGUUUUAUUGGAAUGGCUUAUAAUUUGUGCAUUAUUUUUAA